GCUCUGGAGCCCCAGGAGGCAGCAGGACUUGGUGACAUGGUUCUCUGAAAACCUUCACCAGGCAGGGUUGUGGUCUGUUCCGCCGGCCCGUGCAUGAGUCAAACUGAACCUGCACCCCACACAGCUCAGGUCCAGGGUUCAGGACCAGGCUGAUCUCUGCAGUGAGCUCAGCUUCCUAACCCACAAGGGCGUGCAGAACUCCCCCUUGCUCCUUCCUUUAGCUGCGCCCUUGGCCCUCCCAACCUCCCCACCAGCUCUGUUCCCCUUCCCACCUCAAUUGUCAUGGGCUGUCUGCAGCGUUGGCAGGGGUUUGCAGCUGUUAGUGGCUGCUUUCCUUGAAGUUCUUCUUUGCACAGAUCCUGAGACUUGAUAUUUGUUGAAUGAACAACAUCAAUGCAAUUUGAAUACAUUGAAAGCGGACCUGAAGUUGAACCGGACCCAUUUGCCUUAAUCUAUUUUCUAGGUUAUUUAAAAACUUAUGACAUCAACUCUUCUUACAAAUUUUGGUAUUGUGGAAUGCUAUGUUGGAAAUACUAAUCAAAUAGAUCUCUCUUGUUUCAUGGAAGACCAGUAUAAAUUCUCUGUUCCCUAAUGAAAACAAAGCCCCCAAACAAAAACACCAAACAUUUGAGCUCUCAUCGGGUACGUCAAACUAUUUCAGGGGCUAGGCACGGCAUUUCCUCUAACCCAGAGUGAAUCCCUUUAGGGCACUCAAAGGACUGUAGCACAGCAUUUACUUUUUUCCACAUAUUCCUUCAAACUUCUGUUUUGUAUAUUACCAGCUACUAUCCACAGAGAGGCAUAAAUCCCCUGGAGGAGUCGUAUGUGACCCCACGUGAUUAACUUUGCAUCUGUUUUGCAGCUGUUCACUCUGCGGUUUUAUUUUGCCUUUUGGAAAACUCAGAGUAGUGCUUCUCAAAUGUUAAUGUGCAUAUGCCAAAUCACGUGGGCAUCUUGUUAAAAUGCAGAGUUUUGAGUUGAGGGUCUGGGGAGGGCUGAGAUUGUGCAGUUCUAAGGAGAUGCCAGGUGGUGCCAAUUCUGCUGCACUGGACACCACACUUAGAGUGGCGAGGUCACUAAAUAAUAGGAGCGAAAGGAUUGUGAGAACACCGACAUCAGUGAGAAGGAGGCUGGCUGCAGAGACCAUGAAAAUGAAAUCUAUGCAUGGAGUGCAACCUUGCUGAGAAUAUUUGUUUCCUUUCUAUAUUGUCUCUCCAUGGCCUGCUCGUUCCCUUCAGGUACUAAUCAUAAUUAUAGCUUUUCAAGAUUCAGUGAAUUUCAUCAUUCCUUGUUACCAGUUAUGAAAAUCACUGAUUGUUUCAAGGAUUGGUUAUUUGUCAAGAUGACUUAUUAGGGAAGCCCUAAUGAAUUCUCAGAGCAUGGUCCCUGGACCAGCAGCGUUAGAAUCACCUGGGAGCUUGUCAGAAAUGCAAAUUUUCAGGCCCCACUCAGACCUGCUGAAUUAGAAACACAAGGAAUGGGGCCCGGAAAUCUUGGUUAACAAGACUGCCAGGUGAUUCUGAUGCCUGUUCAAGUUUGAGGUUGGCUGUUCUGGAGUACCGUCCUUUAUCUCACCCCUUACUGUACCACAGGAAGUGGGUGGGGGUGGGGGAGACAAGUAGUCCUCAGUUCAGAACAUUUGGAAUAUAAACCAACAGAGAUAACUAAGCUUAGCAGAAACAACACAGGCUGAGAUAAACCUCGGCUUAAAUUCUGGCUCUGCCUACAUGUCUUUGAGCAUAGCAUUAAUACACCCUAAAUGUCAUUAACCAUUUUGUGACUCAGUGUCCUUAAUACUUUGCAGAAGCUAAAUGUUAGGUCUCUUGCCCUUACAUUGUUUAGGCACUAGAAGUGUUUCCACUUGGAAAAAUGUGUCUUCCUGUGAAAACCACAUUUAGUGCCCAGAACCAAAUGUAUCUGAAAUACUAACUUGGCAUUAUACUUUAGGUAUAUUAUGAGUUAAAAACACACUUAACAGGCUUUUGUAUGCUAGCUUGGGAACUUUAUUAUCCAUUUAUUUAAUCAUUUAGCCAUGCCUUUUAAAAAAGCACAAUACAAUUUCCCUAUGGGGAAAUAUAUUCCAAGUUCCAAAAAUGUAAUUUACGUAUAACUUCUGUUCAUUGGAUGUCUCUAUGCAUCCGUUGUAUCUUUAAUGUAAUCCAGAUAGUCAAACUCAAGGAGCAGGGAUUUGGAAGC
ensembl:lncRNA